rnacentral:SRP_RNA from 1 species
GCCGGGCGAGGUGGCGGGCACCUGUAGUCCCAGCUACUCGGGAGGCUGAGGCAGGAGAAUGGCGUAAACCCGGGAGGCGGAGCUUGCAGUGAGCUGAGAUCCGGCCACUGCACUCCAGCCUGGGCGACAGAGCGAGACUCCNGGAGUCUCGCUCUGUCGCCCAGGCUGGAGUGCAGUGGCCGGAUCUCAGCUCACUGCAAGCUCCGCCUCCCGGGUUUACGCCAUUCUCCUGCCUCAG